UACGAAGGGGGCUAGCGUUGCUCGGAAUUACUGGGCGUAAAGCGCGCGUAGGCGGCAACUCAAGUCAGGGGUGAAAUCCUGGGGCUUAACCCCAGAAUUGCCUUUGAAACUGUGUUGCUAGAGUGUCGGAGGGGAUAGCGGAAUUGCUAAUGUAGAGGUGAAAUUCGUAGAUAUUAGCAGGAACACCGGUGGCGAAGGCGGCUAUCUGGACGACAACUGACGCUGAGGCGCGAAAGCGUGGGGAUCAAACAGG
rnacentral:rRNA from 1 species